rnacentral:tRNA from 1 species
GUUUCCGUAGUGUAGUUGUCAUCACGUUUGCCUCACACGCAAAAGGUCCCCAGCUCGAAAUUGGGCGGAAACA